rnacentral:ncRNA from 1 species
UCAGUUAUAGUUUGUUUGAUGGUAUCUACUACUCGGAUAACCAUAGUAAUUCUAGAGCUAAUACGUGCAACAAACCCCGACCUUUGGAAGGGAUGCAUUUAUUAGAUAAUAGGUCGACGCGGGCUCUGCCUGUUGCUGCGAUGAUUCAUGAUACUCGAAGGAUCGCACGGCCAUCGUGCCGGCGAUGCAUCAGUCAAAUAUCUGC